rnacentral:rRNA from 1 species
CUGCAGCAGUUUGUAGCAUCCAGAUUGUUUAGCGCGUGGUCGGAACGGGUGCGUAACACGUGGAUAACCUUCCUUCAGGUAGGGGAAUAACCCAUGUGAAUAAUUGGUGCUAAUACCGCAUAACACUGACGAUGCCACAUGGUUGUUCGUCUUCCAAAGGCGCAAGUCGCCCAGCAAGAGGGCAUCCGCGGCCGAUUAGCUAGCUUGGCGAGGUAAUGGCUCACCAAGGGCAAUGACUCGGUAGCCGGACUUGAGUAGGUUGGCCGGCCACACUGGAACUGAGACACGGUCCAAGACUCCAUAACGGGAGAGCAGCAAGUGGGGAAUCUUGCACUAAUGGACGAAAGUCUGAUGCAGCAAUCGCCGCGUGGGGGAUGGAGCU